GGUUUAGUAGCUUAGUUGGUAAUGCGCUCGUUUAGCAUACAAGAGUUGUGGUUUCAAAUCCCACCUGAGCAU
rnacentral:tRNA from 1 species